rnacentral:tRNA from 1 species
UUGGAUCACCUCCUAACAGGGAGACAACACAAUGAUUUUGAUGCUGAGUACUUUUAUUCUUAGGCCGAAAUCCUGUCACUUUAGGUCGAUCGGUACCUCAGCUUUGAAGUUGAGAAUCUGCAGCAAUGCAGGUUGCUUAAUGGAGAUUCUUAGUUCCUAAACUUUGUCUAGGUCACACCCCAAAAGGGAUGAGACUCCUGGGCCAUUAGCUCAGGUGGUUAGAGCGCACCCCUGAUAAGGGUGAGGUCCCUGGUUCAAGUCCAGGAUGGCCCAUUCGGUGUUGGGGGUUUAGCUCAGUUGGUAGAGCGCCUGCUUUGCAAGCAGGAUGUCAGGAGUUCGAGUCUCCUAACCUCCACUGACCGAACUUUGUCCCCAACUUCAGAGUAUGGAGUUGAGCUCGAAUGGAGUGUGAUUUAGAUGUGUCCGCUGGAAGACCCCAGCUUCCCGUCAUUCUAGAAAUUGAUUAAUUCAGUUUCUAGUUGAUAAGAUGCUGGGCUCGCACUGAGCAAUCAGUGAUGAGUUCUGGCAGAACCUUGACAACUGCAUAGGUGAGUCUGGAAAGAAUAAAGCAUCUCAUGGAUGAUGCGAUGACUCUAAAUAAUGAUCCGAAAGGAUGAUUAAGAGGAGUGAUUGCGAAUUCUAUAGAGCAAGAGCCGAGACUCCACCACGUUCUUUUGAUUGUGUCGAGCAAUCAAGAGUUUGAUUCUUGAUUCAGAAAUGAAUCAGGGAGAAUCUGUUUCAACGACAGCAAGCGUGUUGGAGAUUAUAUGGUCAAGCUACAAAGGGCUCACGGCGGAUACCUUGGCACACAGAGGCGAUGAAGGA